UACAGAGGGUGCAAGCGUUGUUCGGAAUUAUUGGGCGUAAAGCGCGUGUAGGCGGCUUUGCAAGUUGGGUGUGAAAUCCCUCGGCUCAACCGAGGAAGUGCGCCCAAAACUGCAGAGCUUGAGUACCAGAGAGGAUGGCGGAAUUCCCCAAGUAGAGGUGAAAUUCGUAGAUAUGGGGAGGAACACCGGUGGCGAAGGCGGCCAUCUGGAUGGACACUGACGCUGAGGCGCGAAAGCUAGGGGAGCAAACGGG
rnacentral:rRNA from 1 species